rnacentral:tRNA from 1 species
GCCGGCGUAUGGGUAACCUGGUAACCCAGCAGCCUGGAAAGCUGCCGCUCGAAAGGGCUUGCAAGUUCAAAUCUUGCCGCCGGCG